rnacentral:rRNA from 1 species
UACGGAGGGGGCUAGCGUUGUUCGGAAUUACUGGGCGUAAAGCGCACGUAGGCGGACUUGUAAGUCAGGGGUGAAAUCCCGGGGCUCAACCUCGGAACUGCCUUUGAUACUGCAAAUCUCGAGUCCGGGAGAGGUGAGUGGAAUUCCUAGUGUAGAGGUGAAAUUCGUAGAUAUUAGGAAGAACACCAGUGGCGAAGGCGGCUCACUGGUCCGAUACUGACGCUGAGGUGCGAAAGCGUGGGGAGCAAACAGG